CAGCCGCCGCGGUAAAACGUAGGGUGCAAGCGUUAAUCGGAAUUACUGGGCGUAAAGCGUGCGCAGGCGGUUUGUUAAGACAGAUGUUAAAUCCCCGGGCUCAACCUGGGAACUGCAUUUGUGACUGGCAAGCUAGAGUCUGGCAGGGGGGGGUGGAAUUCCGCGUGUAGCAGUGAAAUGCGUAGAUAUGCGGAGGAACACCGAUGGCGAAGGCAGCCCCCUGGGCCAACACUGACGCUCAUGCACGAAAGCGUGGGGAGCAAACAGGAUUAGAUACCCGCGUAGUCCCUGUCUCUUAUAC
rnacentral:rRNA from 1 species